rnacentral:rRNA from 1 species
UACGGAGGGGACUAGCGUUGUUCGGAAUUACUGGGCGUAAAGCGCACGUAGGCGGAUUGUUAAGUCAGGGGUGAAAUCCCGAGGCUCAACCUCGGAACUGCCUUUGAUACUGGCAAUCUCGAGUCCGGAAGAGGUGAGUGGAAUUCCUAGUGUAGAGGUGAAAUUCGUAGAUAUUAGGAAGAACACCAGUGGCGAAGGCGGCUCACUGGUCCGGUACUGACGCUGAGGUGCGAAAGCGUGGGGAGCAAAC